rnacentral:rRNA from 2 species
AAGGGCACCACAAGAACGCGUGGAGCAUGUGGCUUAAUUUGACUCAACGCGGGAAAUCUUACCGGGUCCGGACACACUGAGGAUUGACAGGUGUUUCGUAAAGUAAGGUUGUUUUAUAUUUUUUUUUACUAUUUAUUUAGUGGGGGAAUUUUAUAAGAUAGCUUUUUCAUUUACAUUUCAAAUAUGCUAGUCCUUUCAUGAUUGUGUGAUAGGUGGUGCAUGGCCGUUCUUAGUUCGUGGAGUGAUCUGUCUGCUUAAUUGCGUUUCACUUAUGGCGUGACUGUGUUAUUAUGGUUCUUUCGUGACCUCAUUUUUCAUUCAUUUGGAAUUUGACGCGUCCGGUUCUAUGUGCACAUCAUAGCCACGAAGGCAACGAACGUGACCGCAACCUCUUGUUGCCUCCCUUGUGCAAGCUGAAUUAUAUUAUAGUAAUUUAUUUAUAUUAAUUUAUUUUAGUAUGAGUGUUUUAUUAUAUUUUUUUUUUAGUUAUUGCCACAGUCAUUAGUUGCAUUUUCUAUAUUAUUUUUAAUAGUAUAGAUGUGUUUUAUCUUUUGUUUACUGCAGUGGAGGGAAACUAGAGGGACCGYUGACAUUUCUUAAACCAGAGGAAGGUUGCGGCAAUAACAGGUCUGUGAUGCCCUUAGAUGUUCCGGGCUGCACACGUGCUACAAUGAUUAUUGCAGUGAGCAUCUUACCCAGUUCGUGUGCACAGUUGCAGCUUACCAUCAAGCGGGUAUACUUUUUGUUUUGUAGGGUAUUUAUUUGUAAUUUAUUACUUUUAAGUGCUUUAUUUGACAUUUGUUUAUUUCGCUGGUAACUCACUGAUGCAUUUUUUUAACGACUAGGCUACUUCGAAAGUAAGUAGCUAAUCAAUUCGAAGUAAUGAUUUCCUUUUGCACAUUUUACAUGUCCUUAGCGCUUUACGAGCUUCACCUUGCGUGUCGUUUUCCGUAACGCUGGAGACAUGUGCUCCAUUAAUUCGUGGUGGGGACAGACCAUUGUUAAUUGUUGGUCUCGUCUUAACUAGGAAUGCCUUGUACGGGUCUUUGGUUCAACAGACCACCCGGAAUAUGUCCCUGCCCUUUGUACACACCGCCCGUCGCUCUUACCGAUGGACUUCUCUGUGAGUUUGAGGGACUGGAAACUCAUCUUUUUGAUAUUCUAUGGAAACUUAAACGAACAGUGUGGUCUAAAGGAAAGAGAAGUCGUAACAAGGCAUCGGUAGGUGAACCU